GACGAACGCUGGCGGCGUGCUUAACACAUGCAAGUCGAACGAUGAUGCUCCAGCUUUGUUGGGGUGGAUUAGUGGCGAACGGGUGAGUAACACGUGAGUAACCUGCCCUCUUCUUUGGGAUAACGGUCGGAAACGGCUGCUAAUACUGGAUAUUCACUCAUUGGCGCAUGUUGGUGGGUGGAAAGGUUUUUUCUGGUGGGGGAUGGGCUCGCGGCCUAUCAGCUUGUUGGUGGGGUGAUGGCCUACCAAGGCUUUGACGGGUAACCGGCCUGAGAGGGUGACCGGUCACAUUGGGACUGAGAUACGGCCCAGACUCCUACGGGAGGCAGCAGUGGGGAAUUUUGCACAAUGGGCGCAAGCCUGAUGCAGCGACGCCGCGUGAGGGAUGAAGGCCUUCGGGUUGUAAACCUUUUUCGCUCAUGGUCAAGCCGCAGCUUUGGGUUGUGGUGAGGGUAGUGGGUAAAGAAGCGCCGGCUAACUACGUGCCAGCAGCCGCGGUAAUACGUAGGGCGCGAGCGUUGUCCGGAAUUAUUGGGCGUAAAGGGCUUGUAGGCGGUUGGCCGCGUCUGCCGUGAAAUCCUCUGGCUUAACUGGGGGCGUGCGGUGGGUACGGGUUGACUUGAGUGCGGUAGGGGAGACUGGAAUUCCUGGUGUAGCGGUGGAAUGCGCAGAUAUCAGGAGGAACACCGGUGGCGAAGGCGGGUCUCUGGGCCGCUACUGACGCUGAGGAGCGAAAGCGUGGGGAGCGAACAGG
rnacentral:rRNA from 1 species